CUUUUUCGUUUGGCAUAGUGUAUGUGACUCACACCGUAGAAUCACUUCUAAAACCCUAACUGGGAUAUACACCAUCAAACUCGCACUGGCAUACAUAAAUCUAGGGUUUUUCAUUUUUCGGGUUCUGCUCGCAUCGAAUCCCUGAAACCUUAAACAGAGAGAUUCGUAUCAGGAGAACAGUGGUUACCGUCUCACGGAGUAAGAUUAUUUGAACCCUCGAAGCUUUCGGUCUAAAGGGUCCAAUGGCCGCCAACAAUAAUCCGCCGUCAACUUUGGAGAAAGAACAGAUCUUUGGAAUGGCAGAAAAGGAGAUGGAGUAUAGGGUCGAGUUGUUCAACAAGCUUACACAUACAUGUUUUAAUAAGUGCGUCGAGAAAAGGUACAAGGAGUCUGAACUAAAUAUGGGCGAAAAUAGUUGCAUUGAUCGCUGUGUUUCAAAAUAUUGGCAUCCUUCCUCGGGGUGUUACAAAUGGUAUCAAAGCAUCUCAACCGAAAGUGUGGGACUUGAGCAGUGCCACCUAUGAUGAAAUGGCCCGAUGAGGAUGUUGCGAAUUUAAGGAGUAGAGAUUGUGAUACCACAUAGUAUAGGUGGUGAAUGGGAUCUCACAUUGCUUAAGAGGGUGAAGUUUUUACCCUUUUUGCAAUGAUUCUAAAUUUCCAAGGGGCUCCAAUUGUACCAUUGGCUAGCUUUUUGGAUUAUGGACUCAGAUAUGGCGUGGACCUUUCUUGGGGCUUUAUAGUAUGAGGCCUGCAACCAUGAUUUUGCUUUUAGGAAGGCCUAAAUACUUGGAGCCAUCUGAUCUUCUGAAACAUCAGUAUUUGAGUCAUGAGCUGCUUGUUGGUUCCCUUUUUCCUGGUGACUAAUCUAAUUGGCCAACUGCUCGGUUCCGGUCGUCCUCCUAUGUGAAACAGAGUGUUCUGCAUUAGUUAGAUGCUAUGCUGGCUGCCUGCCAAAGAAGGUGGAGACUAAAAUUAUUACAUUUUUUCUGUCUGUUUGUACCUGACUUUAUGAGGUAAUUUCCAUUUUAUUGUUUGAAAGGGGGAAAAUUAGCAUCAUUGUGAAUUUAUACUGGCCCUAGCUCAAGUCUGAAAAAGUGUUUGCUCUUCAUCAAUGAGAAAUCAUUCUUUGCCAGUUCAAAUCUGGUUCUUGGCACA